rnacentral:rRNA from 1 species
CGGACGGGUGAGUAAUGCUUGGGAAUCUGGCUUAUGGAGGGGGGUAACUACGGGAAACUGUAGCUAAUACCGCGUAAUAUCGAAAGAUUAAAGUGUGGGACCUUCGGGCCACAUGCCAUAGGAUGAGCCCAAGUGGGAUUAGGUAGUUGGUGAGGUAAAGGCUCACCAAGCCGACGAUCUCUAGCUGGUCUGAGAGGAUGACCAGCCACACUGGGACUGAGACACGGCCCAG